UAACAAAAACAUGGUUUUUUGAUUAUAAUUUAAGAUUGGUUCUGCUCACUGAAUAAAAAAAAUUUAAAGAGCUGCAGUAUUCUGACUGUGCAAAGGUAGCAAAGUCACUUGUUUUUUAAUUGUAAACUGGAAUGAAAGAGCUGAUGAGAUAUAGACUGUCUCAAAAUAAUUUAUAGAAAUUAAAGUUUAAGUUAAAAUUCUUAAAUUAAAUUAUUAGACGAGAAGACCCUAUAGAAUUUUAUAAAUUUKGUUUAUUUUUAAAAUUAAGGCCUAAGUUKGAAGAAUUAAUAUGAUUUAUUUAAUUGGGAGGAUUUUUAAAUUUAUUUAMCUUUAAGUUUUAAAMCCAAUAAUUUUUGAUUAAUUGAUUAAAAAAGAAUUAGUAGAUUAAAUUACCUUAGGGAUAACAGCGUAAUAUUUUUGGAGAGAUCAUAUUAAUAAAAAUGUUUGCGACCUCGAUGUUGAAUUAAGAUAAAAAUUAAAUGUAGAAGUUUAAUAUUUAAGUCNNNNNNACUUUUAAAA
rnacentral:rRNA from 1 species